rnacentral:rRNA from 1 species
GAUGAACGCUAGCUACAGGCUUAACACAUGCAAGUCGCGGGGCAGCAUGGGGGUUGCUUGCAAUCCCCGAUGGCGACCGGCGCACGGGUGAGUAACGCGUAUCCAACCUGCCCUUCACCACGGGAUAACCCGGCGAAAGUCGGACUAAUACCGUAUGUUGUCCAUUGACGGCAUCCGAUUUGGACGAAAGGCUUGGCGGUGAGGGAUGGGGAUGCGUCCGAUUAGCCAGACGGCGGGGUAACGGCCCACCGUGGCUACGAUCGGUAGGGGUUCUGAGAGGAAGGUCCCCCACACUGGAACUGAGACACGGUCCAGACUCCUACGGGAGGCAGAAGUGAGGAAUAUUGGUCAAUGGGCGUAAGCCUGAACCAGCCAAGUAGCGUGCAGGAUGACGGCCCUAUGGGUGGUAAACUGCUUUUAUGCGGGGAUAAAGUGGCCCACGGGUGGGCUUUUGCAGGUACCGCAUGAAUAAGGACCGGCUAAUUCCGUG